UUUGGUAGAAUUGCUUGGUUCAUAUACAUAUCAUUCAUUUUCUUUUUAAAUUAUAAUUUGGCUAUUAUAUCGGAAUGCUAUAAUUUUAAGAAGGGUUAAAGCAUGUCUAUGCUAAUUUAAUUUAGCAAUAAUUUUAUGAUUUAAUUGUAAUACAUUGAUUAUUUUAUGUAUGAUAUAAAAAAUGUGUUCAAUGUUCCUAAUAUAUUAAAUUAUUAAAUAAUUUCAAUUUUUUGUACAUUUAAGAAAAAUAUUUCUUCCUUAAGAAAAAUAUUUCAUAUGCUUGAAUAUAAAAGAAAUUCUUAGAUGAGAUCAAUGUGUUAUAACAUGCUUAUCAUUAUAAUUUACCUUACAGCGUUUACAUUACAGUUCGAAAAUAGUUAUUUAAAAAUGUUAUAUAAAAUGUUUUGAUUAAAACACUUAUGAAGAACUUUUAUUUUGAAUAAUUGUUAUGAAAAACUGAAAUUUCUAAUUAUUAUGCUUCGAUUGGUUCAAAUUUGGGUUCCUAUAUCGGUUUUAUAACCAUUAUUUUUUCAGUUUUAUUUAGGUUCUGAAACAGUUUUAGAAUCAAUUCUUGUAUUAAUUUUUCCAUAAUCGUAAUCACUAAUUUUGCAACUACGAAUUACUAUACACGUGUAUAUUUUUUACAAAAUCAUUAUAGAUAAAGGAGAAAUAUUUAUUAUGCCCUGUCAUUGAUUUCUAACGAAUUGUUUAAAUAAAUAAAGCAGUUACAUAUAUAUGUGAUUGGGAUAGGAACGUAUUCUCAAUCUUCAGAUAUCGUAACACUUUCACGAUUCUCGAAGUGAAUAUAAUUGCUGUAUGUAAAUUCGCUCCAAAAUUCAACAAUUGACUAUAAUUUGUCAUUCAUUACCAUCCAACAAUAAUUGUAAUCCAUUGCAUCUAUCACAUACUUAACGUGCAAAUGUUUUGUUUAUCUCUACUGACUCGUUAAAAGGAUUGUAAUAUCGCGAAGUUAACGCGAUACUCGAAGCUUUUCAACGAUCCUUAAAGACAUUUGAGCCAUGGUGUCAAGAUAAAAAAAAUCGAAGCAAAAUCAAUUUCUUAGUAAUACGAAAUGAAUCAGUUCAAUUCUGAUUAUUAUAAUGAACAGAAACUGAAAAUACUCACUAUUUAGUAAUUAAAUAGUUCUGUAAAUAGUAAUGUAAAUAGUAGUGUAAAGAAUUAAUAAUUAUAUAAUUAAAUAGUUAAAUUAGACUGACACUUUUAUAAAAUAAUAGUCAAAAAAAGAUGAUAUUGUAUGAAAGUACUUUAAGAAUUUUGAUUAAUAUGAAUAAGUUACAAUACACUAUUAAACACUGUUCUUAAAAAAUUUUGAUAUAAACAUAUAUGCAUAUAUAUGUUUACUAUUUUUUUUUUUAACUUUGCAACUUAAAAAUUUUAGAAUGAUUCUACAAAUUUAUUAAAACGUUUGGAUAAUCAUCAUCCAAAUAAAUUUAUAGGUGGGAUGAUAAAAAAAGAAGUAUUGAAAUAUAUAAUAAUAACUAAAGUAAGAAGACCAAAUUUGAUUUGAUAGAUACAUGUGUGAGAUUAAUAAUUAUUCAUAGCAGAUCAAUGUCUUUAAUUAUUGGUAAAGCUUCAUAGACAUGGUAUCACAAAUGUCACGAAUAAAAACAAUUCAUAUACAGUAUGCGACAGAAUAAAAUCAAAAUUGAGAACAAGAAAUCGAAACUCCUAUUUAUUAACUUUUUAUCCUAAAUAAUAUAAUUUUUGUGUGAAUAUAAAAGUACUAAAUAGUAAUGUCAAUUACGAAAAAGUCCAAGAACCAACAUAGAACUGAAAAAAUAAUGAUUAUGAAGCUGAUAUAGGAACGCAAAUAAGAAUUGUAACCGAAACAAAUAAAAUUUGGAAAAUUCGGUUCUUCAUAACAGUUAUUUGAAAUAAAGAUCUUUCAUAACCGUUUUGAGAACCGAGAUUGAUAACAAUUCUCAAGCCCUGGUUUACAUAUUAAAACAUUAAAGUUUUUUAUGAAUUAAUGAUCUUAAAAAUUAAUUAAUAAAUUAUUUUAAAAAGUAAAU